AAAAAAUGAUGGCCUACUAUGUCGAUAGGGUGGGCUAGCUUAACUAUUUAUACUUUUAAGUUGAAUACCAUACAACAAUAAAUACAAACAAGUGGAACUGACAAAGUUACCACAUAAAUAAAAAAAUACAGUGUGAAAUAAAUGCAGAAAUUGUCACCAAAGUAUUUAUAGGUCUAAUGUUAGAAUCCCUCAAUCAGUGUAAAUCCCUUAAUCAGUGU
rnacentral:misc_RNA from 1 species